rnacentral:misc_RNA from 1 species
GCCACACAUAUCAUUAUAAUGAAAACCUUUUAACAAAUAUUUCCAAAAGCACUUCUAAACUUACAUAUUUUCACAUGUUCUUAAGGAUCAUAACAACAUUCUCAUGUCCAAAUCAACAAACCAAAAGCAUUAAUUAACAAAUAAUAAAUACUCAAUAUAUAAUUUUUAGCAUUUCCAUCCCAAUUCAAGUAUCUUAAUUAUUGUCAACCCUUGCACUGAUUUUUCGCUGCCCUGCAGCACUAGUGAGAUUUCUCCUGGCAUUGUUAUUAGGGUUCAGAUUCAUAUACUGACCUGCAGGGUAACUGCUUAGUGUUUUACCCUGGAUUGAUCUUUCAUUUCUCCUGCUAAUGGCCACAGCAGGAGCUGAAGCUGAUGACCUUAGACUCCUGGCCCAAUCAAACUUCUUAGUAUGAAGCAUGCCCUGAAAAUUCUGAUCUGAUCUUGAACUUCUGGGCCUAGUUGGAGCUUCUUUCUUGGUCUCUUUUAUUUCAAUCUUGGUUCCUGCAUCCAAUUUUAUGCUUAUGCUGACUUCAGAGAGUAAUUUUUUCUUUGUUUCCUGCUGAAUAUUUUUGGCUGCACCAGAUUCUGAUAUUUCUCUUUUAUUCCUUUCUUUUUGGUUUUGAUAAAGUCUGUGCAAUCUCAGUGCAAGAUGGUAUAUUCCAUCUUUAAUUUCUUGCUCUAAAUCUCUUUCUAUAUCCAUCUCAAGCUCGCUGCGAAUCUUCAGCUCCUCAUUCGACAUGAUUGGAAGCAAAGUUCUCUCGUUUUGAUCAAUCUGUCACUGUCACCACCUUUAAUACAAGAACAUGAGAUAAACAAAUGAAAAAAGAAAGAAAUUACAAACCAGUGGAUGAGCCAAUGAAUUGCUAACAGGAUCAGAUAAAUCUAGUAUAUCUGUCCUCAUGUAUUCAGGUUGCUGGUCCUGGUUGAACUUUAUGCUUUUUAACUUGUCAUGUUGCACCAUUUUUUUUCUUUGUUUUAUAUCCUAGGUGGUGGAUUUGCACAUGUGGGGCUGGGGUGUAAUUCCAGUUGGAAUGAAG